GGGGAAUUUUCAGAGCUUUACCUAUUCAAGUGGACAUCAAUGUUAAUCCCUCCCACAACUUUGUUGAUCAUGAACAUAGUUGGAGUUGUGGUUGGCAUCUCUGAUGCUAUCAACAAUGGCUACGAUUCAUGGGGUCCUUUGUUUGGUAGGCUAUUUUUUGCCUUAUGGGUGAUUAUCCACCUCUACCCCUUCCUCAAGGGGCUGCUUGGGAAACAAGAUCGUAUGCCCACCAUUAUUCUGGUAUGGUCAAUUCUGCUGGCUUCAAUAUUAACUCUUAUGUGGGUCCGAAUAAACCCAUUCGUGUCG
rnacentral:misc_RNA from 1 species